ensembl:processed_transcript Hoxaas2 Hoxa cluster antisense RNA 2
CCUAAGGGAGAGUCGGUCCCUUUUGAGGUGAAUUUAGAAGCCCCCCCCCCAUCUUCUUUAGGCGUGAUAAUGAACCCCGAAGCAACCUCAGUGGAGACCUGGAAUUCGAUAGCUUGUGGGAAGAGCUUAAGACCUUGUGGGGUUCCAAGGUUGAGGCCUUGGCCGAUGGGCUUUCGGUGCGGGGAAAAGGAGAGGAGCCCCGGGUUCUUGGGGCCCGCGCCCCGCACCUGUGCGCCCCCCGCUGAGCCCCAGACUGUCCGCCUUUGUUUCUGCCAGUCCGCUCCGCACUUAGCAGCCUGGCGCCCUGCUUGGGCGGCAGCUGGGAACCAGGCAGCUCAGAGAGCCGGGAGCCAUGGCAUUUCCCGAGCUGCUGCAGCCACUUGAAACGGCGGCCUCUAUCCCCAGAACUCGCCGAGCUUCCAAGGCAGACGCCGGACCAGGCCGCACGCCGGAGUUGCGGUGCUGCGGCAGCCGCUGCCAGUUCGCUCCUGCCAGAACUCCACGCAGAGACCCGUGUCCAGCCAAAGAACCCUCUUUGACACGGAUCGUAAUCAGAAUAAAAACUUUAUUUUUUAUUUUUAUUUUUUUGUUUCUCAGAAUGUGAGCAGCAAGGAAUGUAAAACUCUCAAAACAAAUCUAGCAUUUUUACGUUUAGUUUGGCCGGAUGUUACAAACCUAAACCACUAUUUUCAAACUCUGGGUCCUCUCUGUUCUUAUUGCAUUGCUACGGUUUUUAUAAAGGAAUUUUAUUUCCCUUUCAAAUAAAUUUUAUAUGUAUGCCAAUACACCAUUGAACAAAAGGCUCAAGAAACCUUCUGAACAAUCAGGGUACAGAAUUUCUUUAAUAUAAAUACGAACGGAUGGGGAUAAAUAAUAUUUAAAACUAUUCAAUGCUUGCAAAAAAUAUAAAUAAAUCUGACUGUUCACCAGCACACACACACACACACACACACACACACACACACGGAAAGACGUACACUUAGUCAUCUUUGCACAGGGUGUCCCUGUUUCAAAGCGCCUUUGAUUUCCUUUUCUCGAUCAUUACAAGAAGUGCAAUUUUAAAAACUAAAACUU